GUAUUCCUCAUAUUAUUUUAUUUUGUUUUAAAAUUUGGUGAAUUUCAUAUAUAAAGAAAAUCAUUGUGUUUUGUGGUUAUCUCUGAUCUCUGGUCCAUCUCUAGUCCACAGCUGGUUCACAGAACAGCUCUGGUCUAUGUCACUGAUUUGUAGAACCAAGUUGUUUACAAUUUUAAUUCACAAUUUUUUAAAUAAAAGUGUUUAUUUUUGCCAAUUUGUCCAUUCAUUUUCAAGAAAAAUAUAAGAGGGUUAAUAAAAAUCUAUUAAAUUACCAGCUGUUGUUGAAUAUAGUUUGCAAAAUUUGUCUCAGGAGGAACAUCAAAGUGCCAAUUAAUAGAACCUGUGAAAUAUAUAGAGUUGGUUAAUUUUUCUUUAGGUUAAACAUUUCUCGGUAUACCCAUUUCUCUAUUUCACAAUAAUCAGUAACUCAAUAACAUGAAGGAAUUCAGUGAAGAAGCAGAAUUGCCCAUUCAGGAUAUUAUUCGUACGUGCCAAUGCAAAACCCACAACAAGUACUGUUUGGACUAUGAUGACAAUCAUCUCAAUGUUGAGUGUGCUCUAUUCAAAAAUAUUAAGAAAUCAUUUGGGCAAGAUUGCACAAUGAAAUGUCAAUCUAUACAACAUGGGGAUCAUAUAACAGCUGCCAUUACUUCUAGGGAAGUGUCUGAUGUUGAGUUGUGUUCUUAUAUCACUUACGUGUGUAAAAGAUGUGGCACAGUGCGGGAUUCAGUGGGACGGACAGCUUUACACGUUGCCGCUUCUUGCGGUCGCACGGAGUUAGUUCGAUGGUUAAUAGAGCAGGGUAAAGCUGAUAUAAACGCAAGGGAUAAAGAGUCCGGCUUUACAGCACUGCAUCGAAGUAUAUUUUAUGGUAAAAUUGCUACAGCUGUUCAGUUGAUGAAAUUAGGAGCAAAUCUAAACCAAAAAGACUACGAGGGUUUAACAUUCUUAGAUCAAGCUUUACUUCAUCAAGCGGAUAUUCCUUUAUCAACAUCAGGCCGAUACUAUUACAGUUCGGGUAAAACCACGAUCAAAUUAGCAAAUCUAAAGCGAAAAGACUGGGGUCUAAUAUUCUCAGAUAAAAUUUUACUUCAUCAAGCGGUGCCUUCCUCGAGAACAGGCCUACUGCACACUUUGGGUAAAAGCACGAGCGAAUUAGGAGCAAAUCUAAACCAAAAAGGCUACGAGGAUCGAAUAUUCUUAGAUCAAGCUAAUCAAGCGCUUAUGCCAUUAUCAACAUCCGGCGAACUGUUUACUUGGGGUGAUAAUACCAACAAUUCGUUAGGCACACAACAUCCUAGAAGCACGCCUGAAGUUAUGAGUAUAUUUCAUAAGACCUAUCCCAAAGAAAGUGUGCAAGAUUUUUUUAUUGAUCAGUAUCAUAGUGUAAUAUUGUCACAAUCAGGAAAUGUCUACUCAUGUGGUCAUGGUCAUGGAGGUCGACUGGGACUUGGUAAUGAUCGUACUGAACUGGCACCAAAACAGAUAACAUUUGAAAGGGGAGCUGUAGAAAUUAAAGAAUGCAGUAUUGCUAAGAAUCAUAGCUUAUUUUUAUCUACAGACGGGCAGAUAUAUAGUUGUGGACUGAACACGCACGGAGUUCUUGGUUUUGACUCGUCUGUUACGGAGGUUGUUCGUCCAAAGGCUGUGAAAUGCAAAUCAUUCAUAGAAUCAGUAUUGGCCAGUGAGUAUCAUUCGGUGGCCUGGAAUUCACAUGCAAUGUUUACUUGGGGAUUAAAUGCUGGCCAACUAGGCCUUGGUACCACACUCCAUUAUUUGGUUUAUGCUCCAAAAAAAGUGACAAUUCUGGACUUUAGAGAGAGUUCUGAUAGAAUUAACUUGGUGUGCACCAGCACUGGAGCUAUCGUAAUUAGCACUAUGAGGGGAUUUGUUUAUACUCUACAUGAUCACGAAUGCAGACCCAUUGCUUGGAAAUUACAUGAUAUAUUGGCCAUAUCUGCUGUCGGAGGAAAAUUUAACGAGGAAUUGUACCCCGAAUUGCGAAACAAAAGUAGCGAUCUUAGAAUAGCAAUUGUGAAAACUGACGGAAGUGUACGGAUCUGGCAAAGUUUUGAUCGGGUUUUUCGCAUGUGCCACUUCUCUAUGCAGAGUCCCGGGAUCGUUACCGAUGUCAGCUUUAACGCCUGCCAAUUACUUUUGGUCACCAAACACGGGGAAGCUUUUAAAGGUGAUGUUACCAGGAAAACGUACAAGCGAGGCGUAGAGUAUAAUGGCAGACCAACAAUAAGGGCAAGAAAUGGCCGGUAUCGCUCCUCUGACCGGAAAAUUGACGGACUCAUAGUGAAGUUGGAGAAAAUUCCUCUGGUUUAUCGAGCCCUUAAAAUACGUAGCGAUCCCAAAGGAUCUAAUUUCGGAAUCAUACAGAGUUGGCCAUACAAAAAUUCUCGAUAUCAUCGUUUUGAGGAACAGGACAUUUAUAGUGUAUUAAACGGCGGGCUCAUGGAAUUAUUACAGACAGCGGAUCUAGAAGACGGUCUAGUCGAUGUGGUUAUCAAGGCUAGUAAUCGCGAGUUUUUAGCCCACAGGUACAUUUUAGCCUCCAGGAGUCCCUAUUUUGCAAGGGUUUUAUCGGAGAACCCAAACAUAACCCCAACUAUCGACCUGGAUAAAUUCGAUGCGGAUAUUUUCGAUCAGAUUCUCAGAUUUAUCUAUGGCCGAAGAGAAAACGAAAUAUGUUUGGGGAAAUUUCCAAAGGAAUCGGAUAAGAAGAAAUCCGUUCUAAAAGCGUUUAGAGAUGCGGCGAUUAAAUUCGAAUUGGACGACUUAAAAUAUUUGUUUCAAGAGGUCAAAACGGAUUUAGGGGAUUUUUUGCCGCCGCUUUUUGACAUUUGGACGUUUGAUAGAUUCGCCUUCCAGGAUUUUUUCGACGUCUGGGUAAAGUGUUCGGAUAACACGAUACUCCGUGCUCACAAGUGCGUUCUGGUGGCCAGAUCCGAGUAUUUUUCCAGUAUGUUCUCCGUUAGAUGGAUGGGGAGAAACAAAUCGGAAAUCACUCUAUCGUUCACGGCAGACGUUGUAGAUCGUCUGCUUGAUUUCCUCUACACCGACGCUGUCAAGAAAUUAGACGAAAUCGAGGUGGAUAAAAUCUGCGAUAUAUUCAAACUGGCCGACCUUACAUUAGUCAAAAAACUGGGACAGAUCUGCGAGAAUGCAUUGGCAGAUUCCUUAACCAUCAAAAAUGCACUUCCUCUGCUCACUUUUGCUCUAUCCGUCGCCGCUGUUUAUCUAAAAACGAAUUGUUGUCGAUUUGUACAGCUAAACAUGGCUAAUUUCCUGGAGUUGCGUUUAUUGGAGGACUUGGACGAUGCUGUUCUGGCUGAAUUAUCUGAGUUUUACCAGCAGGCUCUUGAAUUCGGUUCUAAACAAAUAACACCGUACUCUACGGCGCCAUCCUUUGAGCAAAUGACAGGGAUAUGGGCGGAUAUGUCAAAUGACAGGGAUAACGAGGUUUCUAGAAGUAACAAAGUCAAAAGGAAAAAGAGCGCAAAGAGGAUAAGCAGUUCGCAAGACGAUGUACCAGUUGCAGAGAGCUCAAUAGACCCCUCACAGGUGCCAGUUCCAGCUCUACGAAUGAUCCCGAUUUAUCCACAAGUUUAAACAGUGUUUCUCUAACGCCAGGAGGUGAAUUGGUUGGACGUCGGGUCAAGGCCAUAACCGCUGCGCGGAAUUUGGAUUUAAGUGACGAAGAAAAUUUUACGGCGCUUAAUAAAUCGGACGGUUCCAAGAGUCUGAGCGGUUCCUUCGUGGACGAGUACGAGUUUCCGCUGCUGAGCAGUGCGCAGAAGGCUUCGGCGUCUCGAAACACCGCCCACAAAUCGGACGCGAGGCGCAGCAUGCCCAAACUGUCUCAGAAGCAGAGAAAGAGAUUGAGUUCAGAGAGCGGUGGUUCUGGAGCUGUAUCUUCUCCGCCUUUAGCAGAAAGCCCAAAGAAUCCUUGGAAGGUUUUGCCAAGUCCUGUCACCGAAGUUAACAGGAAAGAAGAAGGUAUGGAAAGCAUUAUAAU
rnacentral:misc_RNA from 1 species